rnacentral:tRNA from 1 species
UGGUGGAGCCGGACGGGAUCGAACCGACGACCCCCUGCUUGCAAAGCAGGUGCUCUCCCAGCUGAGCUACGGCCCC